rnacentral:lncRNA from 10 species
UGAGCCAGCCAAUCAGCGGGUGGGGGUGUGGUGGCACAGGCAGUGAGCCGGUCAAUCAGCGCUGGGGCUGUAGUGGCACAGGAGGUGGGAGGUGGGCAGGCCAACACGGAGGAGGCCUCCUAUGGGAAGCUGAGGAGUUUGGCAUUUUAUCAGAAGACAGUAUCAUGCCAUUGAGGGAUCUUAAGCAAAGCAGUGACAGAAUCAGAUCUAUAGUUUCAUCAAGACCCAUUGGGCUUCAACGUUCAGUCUGCACCGGAGCAGGGAACACUCUAGAGAUGAGGCAAUGAGCUAUCAGAGCACUAAAUAAUGGGGCGAGUAAGCGGGUACU